GAUGAACGCUGGCGGCGUGCCUAAUACAUGCAAGUCGAGCGAACGGACGAGAAGCUUGCUUCUCUGAUGUUAGCGGCGGACGGGUGAGUAACACGUGGAUAACCUACCUAUAAGACUGGGAUAACUUCGGGAAACCGGAGCUAAUACCGGAUAAUAUUUUGAACCGCAUGGUUCAAAAGUGAAAGACGGUCUUGCUGUCACUUAUAGAUGGAUCCGCGCUGCAUUAGCUAGUUGGUAAGGUAACGGCUUUCCAAGGCAACGAUGCAUGGCCGACCUGAGAGGGUGGGCGGCCACACUGGAACUGAGACACGGUCCAGACUCCUACGGGAGGCAGCAGUAGGGAAUCUUCCGCAAUGAGCGAAAGCCUGACGGAGCAACGCCGCGUGAGUGAUGAAGGUCUUCGGAUCGUAAAACUCUGUUAUUAGGGAAGAACAUAUGUGUAAGUAACGGGGCACAUCUUGACGGUACCUAAUCAGAAAGCCACGGCUAACUACGUGC
rnacentral:rRNA from 1 species